AAGUCGUAACAAGGUUUCCGUAGGUGAACCUGCGGAAGGAUCAUUACCAUAUUCUUCUAACAAGCCCUGCGCUUUCGAGAGAAUUGCAGGCAAAAACUAUGAGCAAGCGCCGCGCGGUUCCGCGUGGCGUGAGGGAGUCGGGCAUGCUGACAUGAGUGCCCGGCUCUAGCGCCGUUCCCCCAACGACACUCUCGUGUCGAUGGGGAGCUCUGAGGACGGACUCGUUCUUUACCGAACCCUGUGCUUGAAAAGGAACAAAAAUAUAGUACAACUGCAAACGGUGGAUCACUCGGCUC
rnacentral:misc_RNA from 1 species